CUGUACUGUUCAUCUUCUUCUUCUUUCACUCAUCCCCAGCCCGCAUCGUCUCAUUCUCACCUCAGCCCUCAUCGUCCUCACUCAUUCCCUUUCCUUCACUUGGAAGAUCCAUCUCCGAAUCACUGUUCUUGUUGCAGACUUGGGGUUCCUUUUGCUGAAAGUCUGUAGCUUGGAGGGCGAGGAUGGAGGGCAUGGAGCAGUAGAAGGUUCAGGUGGAGAACUGAACCAAUCAAUUGAACCAGUUGCUGGGUCAAUUACUCGAGCAGGUUCACCAGGUUCCCCCGGCUCAGCUUUAUGUCACCGUCGUUAUCUUGGCUUUCACGGUUCAAGGCUCGACCUUGGCUUUCACGGAGAAAGAUGGAUGGAUUGAGGAAAGAAUGAGAUGGAAAGGGAAGAUGGAUGGAUCGAGCUGGAUGUACGGAGAUGAAGAAGUCGAAGAGCAACACAGAGUCGAAAAGGAUGGCUUGGGUUGCCGCUUCGAUGAGGUUGUCCCAGUGAUUGAGGGUCCAAUAGGGGAGGGGAAAGGAGAUCUUGGCUCUCCCGAUUUUAGAGUUUCGUCAAAUUGAAAUAUGAGGUAAAAUUUGAUUUAAUUUUUUGGUGGACGUUCGUCAAAUCGAAAUUUUAGACUCAUUGUGGCUCGAGAACUAUUGCCAUGAGUUGUAAUUGGCUUGUCGUGGGUAGGACGACCAUGGAAGUGUAGUAAUCAAUUAGAGAAGGGAGAAGAAGGGCAUGAAGAUAAAGAAGACGAUGAACAGUGCUCUGUGGGGUAAAAUUGAAAAUUUUUAAUAAAUUUGGGUCUUUUUGAAAUUUUAAAAAGUUUGUAGUGGAGUUAAGUAAAGUUGAGUCAAACAUAAUUCUAAAACCAAAUAGACCCGUAAUGAUUUUAAAUGCAACUUUGCCUCGACCACACUCUCUCAGGCUAUUACUUCCUGUCUCUCUCUCUCUUUAAUGUUGGUUCUUUGCCUUUUUCUAACUCUUAAAAAUUAAAUUUUCUCUACAAAGAACGUAAAUACCAAUUGUUUUGGUGGGAAAAUUGACAAGAAGAGAAAGACAGCUGGUUUAGAUAGAUGGGAAAAUGAGGAUAUGAGAUAAAAAGUUGUAUAGAAUCUUCAAAAAUUUCCAUUAAAACUUUCCCUCCUUUUCUUUCAUUCCGUUUCCAUUAAUUCAAACGGAGGGUAAAUGUAAACAAACAGGAAAAUAUUUGAGGAUUAAAAAAAAAAAGGUAACUGUUAAAGCUCAAAGGAUUUAAUACUUUAGGGGUAAUACAAAGGCAACUCAAACUAUUUGGGGUGCUGUUUGGGUCUGAUGUAAAAUACAGGGGCCGAAAUUGGAAAUAACCCUUAACUAAAUUUGAAGCCUUUGGUGGUCUGAUAAAGCUCGCCCCUGCAUGACCGAUGACGUCUUUCUUCCUCAUCAUUUGGCCAGUGUUCCUGAAACCCUAGAGAGAGGAAGAGAUUAGAAGUUCAAGGUGCUGAGAGGGAAUUGUUUUUUCCCUUUCCAUGGACAUAUGUCCCGUUAUGGCUGAAGCUAGAUGCAGAAAGUUGUCUGAUAACCAACAUGAAGCUCACUCUAGUCGGCUCUAUGAUCUACCUGAUGUCGUUCUUUACCACAUCUUAUCCUUCCUCCCUAUGAAAGAUGUUGUGAAAACGAGCACAUUGUCGAAGAGGUGGCAGUAUUUAUGGGCUUCUGUUCCUAAUCUUGAGUUUCGUGAAUGCGAUUUCCCUGAAAGGUCCCUCUUCAUGAACUUCGUGGACAGAGCUUUCAUUUUCCGGGAUAGGUCAUCCAUAAAAUCUCUCUCUCUCUCAUGUGAGGUACUUCGUGAUGCAUCCCGCAUCAAUGCAUGGAUUACUGCUGCUACAAGGGGUGACUUGGUGGAGCUCUCUCUAAACCUAAAAGAUGAUGAGCCAAUCACGUUGCCUUGCUGCAUAUUUGGAUCAGGAACGAUAAAGAAGUUUGAGUUGAAUUCGUCUGCCAUCCUUAAGUCUCAUUCUUCAGCUUGCCUUUCAAAUCUCAAGGCCGUAAGUCUUACAGGGGUCACAUUUGUGGAUGAUCGUUCAGUCCAGAACUUAUUCUCUUCACCAUUGUUGGAGGAGUUGUCUAUUUCGGAAUGCAAAUGGAUGAAUCUCAAAACCGUGACCAUCUCUGCUCCUAAGCUUAAGAAGUUGUCUAUUUGUGAUUAUAACUUGGAGGAAUAUGUCUCAUAUGACUGCAGGGUAGAAAUACAUGGGGCUAGUCUCAAGUCUUUAUUAUUUCAGGGUGUGCUGAUCAAUCAAUAUAGCAUUUGCUCUGCUAUUCAGCUCGUUGAGGUUGAGAUUUCUAGUUGUUCUAGUUUUCCUCAUGACGACGUAGGCUAUGAUAUAGUUGCCAGGCACUCACAUGAGCUUCUUAAGGGUCUUUCCAGCGUGGAGUGCCUGACUCUAUCUGACUUCUUUUUAUUGGAUCUCGGUAGGAGGAUUGAGCUCUUUGAUGCCCUUCCCGUGUUCAGUAUGAUGACCGAGCUGAAAGUAACAACGGAGUUUGUCAGUUUACAAGAUCCCGGAUUUUUGCUGCUUCUCAAAAGAUCUCCCAAUCUUAGAACUCUUGAAAUUAGAGAUGAAUAUGAAGCAUUUGAAGAAUCGAUGAGAGCAGUGCCUCUGUGUUUCCAUACGCAGCUCAAGAGGAUAGUUAUUGGCUCUUUUGGUGGAAACCCCUACGAGUUUUUAGCGGUGAAGGCUUUUCUCAAGGCUGCGACAGUUUUGAGAGAGAUGGUUAUACAUGUUAGGGAUAGCAUGGACAAAAAGUCCAUCUCGAAUAAGCUGAUGCUGCUGCCCAGGGGUUUGAAUUGUCGAAUAAAGAUAGUGCCCAAAAAGGGAAAUUCAGUCAUAUAGCUAGAGGAUCUUUGAUUCUGGUUUGCUCUCUCUCUCUCUCUCUCUCUCUCGAGGAAGUGGCUCAGACGUCAAACUUGACCAUGAGCUUGGUUGCUGGUUAAUUAAUUGGAGGAUGAAGAGCAUCACAUCAGAUUCUGAUGGUAAUUUUGUAACUAGAGAGGAGCACGAGUGUACUGAUGCGUGGAUAAUCGGCUUUGGUUGCUCUGAAGGUGCAGGUGAAGUCGAAUCGGAGGGUUUGAACAUGAAAAGAAUAUUUGAAAAAUUUCCCGAUCGGGUGAAUUUAUUCAGUAGGAAAACACUGGCUUAGGGGCGAACACCAAAGACCAUCGAUGUCAUCCUUUGUCUUUUUUAUUUUUUAUUACAGAUGUCAUCCUUUGUCUUUAAAAGACAGGAGUAAGACCUGGAGAAUAAAUUCACCAAGUGUGCAGUAGAUCUACUGCCUAUACAUGUUAGCUAGCUAUGCUGUUCCUAUAUCAAUUACUGACUCGAUAAUUUGUGUGUGUGUGUGUGUGUGUGUUUUUUAAUCUUCUUUAAUGUAGUCUUUCAUUCAAAUUCAA